CUACGUGCCAGCAGCCGCGGUAAUACGUAGGGCGCGAGCGUUGUCCGGAAUUAUUGGGCGUAAAGGGCUUGUAGGCGGUUGGUCGCGUCUGCCGUGAAAUCCUCUGGCUUAACUGGGGGCGUGCGGUGGGUACGGGCUGACUUGAGUGCGGUAGGGGAGACUGGAACUCCUGGUGUAGCGGUGGAAUGCGCAGAUAUCAGGAAGAACACCGGUGGCGAAGGCGGGUCUCUGGGCCGUUACUGACGCUGAGGAGCGAAAGCGUGGGGAGCGAACAGGAUUAGAUACCCUGGUAGUCCAUGCCGUAAACGUUGGGCACUAGGUGUGGGGAACAUUCCACGUUUUCCGCGCCGUAGCUAACGCAUUAAGUGCCCCGCCUGGGGAGUACGGCCGCAAGGCUAAAACUCAAAGAAAUUGACGGGGGCCCGCACAAGCGGCGGAGCAUGCGGAUUAAUUCGAUGCAACGCGAAGAACCUUACCAAGGCUUGACAU
rnacentral:rRNA from 1 species